rnacentral:lncRNA from 1 species
CAAUGUAUUCUUCACCAAAAAUUAUACAAUCUUUUCUUCUCCAAAAAUGGAGGCUAUCAAUUCAAGGGCUAAACCUAAAAAUUGGGGAAGAUGGAACAUCAUCCAUGAUACUAGGGUUUGAAUUUUUUUGUAAAAAUUUGGAUCAGCCGCGUGCAUUUCUAGUUUUUCCCUUGUGCUGAUUUCUUCUACUAAGCCGCUAUCGCGCGGGUCUGGCUGCGACCGCAGUCAUGUUACUGCGGGUAACUUCUAUGAUCAUGAUUGAAUAAAUUUUUCUUGACUGUUGUGAUCGUGGUUUGCUGACCGUGACCGCGGUACCUGAGACCUUUCAGCUCCGAGUCUUAACUACACUUUUCAUGCUCCCUUUUGAUUAUUUUCAGCUCCAAUUCAUAUCUUUUAAUCUCCUCAUCUCUUUGCCUGCAAAGAGUGGAUAUUAGUGCAGUUUAUCACCAAUAUGUCUCAUUUAUUAAUUCAAAAUAAGGUAAUGUGCACAAAUGUUUAUUGAGAAUGAGUGGUAAAAUCAUCACUCAUCAACACCCCCAACUUAAAGCAUUUGCUUGACCUCAAGUAACACUACCUCUUACCAUGAGACAAUAAUUCUCUAUGCCCAACUUUAUACCUUAAAGCUCACAAUGAUUUAAACUUUAGUUGCAAUCGGAAGUAGCUCAUUGCAUAAAGGAUAAGCUAAUUUCAACUACACACUUUAUCAUAAGAUGCAACAUUCAAGGAUACAGAGGACUUUUAAGAAAAACCGAGCAACAACAACCAAUACUCUAAAGGUGGCUUCUUCUUGACAAUAACUAAGCUAUACUGCUUUUGCCUUAUUGUUUAGAAGGUAACAAAAUCACCCACCUCAACUUAUUUCACAUGCCAACCUUCCAAGAAAAAAAAAUUCACACACCAAGCUACCAAAUUAUGUAAUAAGGAAUUUUAAGUGAAAAAACUCUCUCCCUCACAAAAGAAAUCUCUAUGUUACAAAUGUCAUACUAUCGGAUUGCCCCUAUUUUCAAUCGCCACUACAAAGAGAGUAAAUGUUGAGAGAUUUCAAAGGACUUUUUAAGCCUGUAAUGUAGAUUCGGGAUAGGGUAGGAUAUCAUUUGGGAAGACAUGGAUACACCCUUCUUUGAACAUCUAUAUCACACUUUUCAAUCCUUUUUUUUUACUCUGGGCCACUUUUUGUUUCUUUUUUUUCUUUUAUCAUGCCUACUUUUUUUGCUUCCUUUGUUCACCACUUUUCUUUCAUUCCUUUUUCUUGCAACUCUCAUUCACGUCUUUCCUUUAUUGAACUCUUUCUUUUUCUAUUCAUUCAUUUUCAAAGCUUAGGCACAUUAGGCAUUUCACUUACAACUUCGUAGCCCCAAGCAUACGUCCAUCAAUCUUUACCACCCUAACUUAAGCUUUUAGUCUUAAGUUGUAUUUUCAAGUUCACGGAGGGUAUGGUUCAAAAGAUGGAUAAAAAGAAUAGUUCAUGGCUUGUAAUGUGUUUUCCAAAGAAAGAUCCAAAGGAUCAAAAUAGGUAACUAGGGAUUACAUUCAUGCUUGGGUAGGCUUUCUAGGAUAAAGUGGCUUCCAAAAGCACAAAGAUGACUUAAGAUCAUUUAGCCAACCAAUACAAUCAAAAUUAGCUUUGAAAGACUAAUAGAGCAAGUUAUAGAUAACACAAGUAUACGAGAUAUGAAUGCAAAAAUCUCACCGCACAUGGCAUGCAAAAUUUUCCAAGAGGGCUCAAAUGUCCCUCCAACGAGAGAGAAAAUAGGAGUAUCUAUUUCUAUUCAUAAGUCAAAAUUUAUAAAGUCACAAAAAGAGAAAAUUUUGUUACAACAUUGCUCACGUCUAUGCCCUUGAUUUCUAAAAAUAUCAAAUGAAGGGGGUUGUUCAUUUGGCAUUAGCCUCUCAUAUAAUUUGCUAACAUGGCUACAACCAAAGCCUUAGUCUCAGAUUUAGGCUAAAAACGAGUAAACUACCUAUAUGUCUACUCAGACUUCACCAAUGGUGUACAAGGUGACCCUAACUUUACAAUAUACAAUGCCAUAGGUACUCUGACUUUCCUUGCAUUUUGGAUAUUUAUGCUACGGUACUCAAACUUCCCCUGCACCUAUGCCUUAAAAUCCAAACAUGAAGCUUUACCCUUAAGAAUGUCGUCACUUAAUCCAUCAUAGGGCAAAGUUAGUCGUUUGUCAUCAAAACUAAAACAAAGCUAAAGUGAAAAAAGAAAAACUAAUACUAGAAGAAAAGCAUGCUAAUCCAUAAAACAUGGGCGCUAUCAGGGUACCCAAAAAAUAUAGCAUCCAAAAACACAAUAAAAACAGUAUCCAAAACUUCAUCUUCAAAUAAUAUUAACAGAAAUACAUGGAACAUAAGACCAAAAUAACAAACAUCCAAGGGCACCCCCCAACUAAAAGAAUGCAGUGCCCUACUGUAUAUGUAACCAAUCAAGAGUAAGAGGGUUGUCCCUGAGUCUGCAUUAAGAGCUGCUCUCUCUCGCUUUUCCCUAAACUUCAAGUUAUAAGAGGGGUUUCGGCGAUCGCAUUUGUACGGACCGCAGUUGCCGUAACUAAAACCAAACAAUCAAUUUUUUGCACUUCUUGUUCAGUCCAAAUUGCCAAUUUCACACAUACCCUUUCCAAAUUCAACUAAAAUUCUCUAUAGCACCAAUAUUUCAUUGAUUAUACAUGCGUAAACAAAAAUAAAAUCUACUCAAUCAUGUGAAAAUAAAAAGGAUACGAGCCACUUUUAGUGGUAUGGUGGGUUGCCUCCUAUCUAGAACUUAGUUUAAUGUUGCGGCACAGCACCUUCACCACUUUCUUUUAUGUUUCCACAUUGAAGUUUUGAAUCUCCGUCCCAACUUUUGUUCAAUAUGUAAUGAGCGAUAGAGAGACAGAAGCUUCAAAUCUUCCAAGAUAAAACUUAGAAGAUUUGAUGGCAUGGCAAGCAAGCUUCGAUCUCGCCAUUUUGAGGACUUGAACCUUUUACCCAAUUUCAUAUCAAAUUUCCGAAUUGGUUCUUUGGGAACAAGUAAGGACAUCAAUUGGACAAUUAUUAUGCAUUGGGAAUUGUGUUCUUUGUCCUUUGAUUGAUGAUGUUAUAGAUGCUCCUUUGGAAUAUCAACUUCCAAAAUAUAGGGACAGGUCUUCGUCUCCUCACAAUCCAUAAUUUGCCUAUGUAGAUAAAUUCUCAUCACACCCUCUAAUCAUAAUGUUGAGAAGUGAUUUGAGUGAGGUACAACCCUCAGUGUUGUAAUAGCCUCCUCAAAAACAUUUUCACCCUGAAGUAAGAUAGAGUCAUCCCAAGAGAUUUGAUUUGAUUCUUCUUUUGACUCUUGUAUUAUUUCCUUUAAUCUGGCCUAUUCUUCCUCAUAUGACUCGGUAGAUUGGAAAGUUACUGAGGAGUUUUCUCUACCAAGUCUAUCAUCAUAGUAUAGUUUCUCUUCUUGAUGAACCUGUUUUUGGCAAAUGGGCAUGGUUAUGAUGUUUGCAAGAAUUAUGUUCUUGCCUAAUUUCUUUGCUUUGACAUUUUCCCUUAGGAACAUUUCAUAGGAUUUAUGAAAG